UCUAAGUAUAAGCAAUUAUACAGCGAAACUGCGAAUGGCUCAUUAAAUCAGUUAUCGUUUAUUUGAUAGUACCUUACUACAUGGAUAACCGUGGUAAUUCUAGAGCUAAUACAUGCUGAAAACCCCGACUUCGGAAGGGGUGUAUUUAUUAGAUUAAAAACCAAUGCCCUCCGGGGCUUACUGGUGAUUCAUGAUAACUUCUCGAAUCGCACGGCCUUGCGCCGGCGAUGGUUCAUUCAAAUUUCUGCCCUAUCAACUUUCGACGGCUGGGUCUUGGCCAGCCGUGGUGACAACGGGUAACGGAGGGUUAGGGCUCGACCCCGGAGAAAACGCCUGAGAAACGGCGUUUACAUCCAAGGAAGGCAGCAGGCGCGCAAAUUACCCAAUGCCGACACGGCGAGGUAGUGACGAGAAAUACUGAUACAGGGCUCUUUUGGGUCUUGUAAUUGGAAUGAGUACAAUUUAAAUCCCUUAACGAGGAACAAUUGGAGGGCAAGUCUGGUGCCAGCAGCCGCGGUAAUUCCAGCUCCAAUAGCGUAUAUUAAAGUUGUUGCAGUUAAAAAGCUCGUAGUUGAACCUUGGGCCUGGCUGGCCGGUCCGCCUCACCGCGUGCACUGGUCCGGCCGGGCCUUUCCCUCUGGGGAACCCCAUGCCCUUCACUGGGCGUGGCGGGGAACCAGGACUUUUACUUUGAAAAAAUUAGAGUGUUCAAAGCAGGCCUAUGCUCGAAUACAUUAGCAUGGAAUAAUAGAAUAGGACGUGCGGUUCUAUUUUGUUGGUUUCUAGGACCGCCGUAAUGAUUAAUAGGGACAGUCGGGGGCGUCAGUAUUCAAUUGUCAGAGGUGAAAUUCUUGGAUUUAUUGAAGACUAACUACUGCGAAAGCAUUCGCCAAGGAUGUUUUCAUUAAUC
rnacentral:rRNA from 1 species